CCGCGCCUCGGGCAGAGGAGGGCUGUUCUUCCCUUGGGUUUGAUGACUGGGAGGAACUAGUCCUCUCUGCUUAGGAGCGG
rnacentral:pre_miRNA from 1 species